UAGUACUGGUCCCCCUAACCCUCCUACACCUAGUACUGGUCCCCCUAACCCUCCUACACGUAUUUAGGCCUGCUCCUAAAGCAGGUGGACUCUAUGGUAACACAACCUUAUUAACCAACACACACAGUUCUAGUCAGGUGGACUGGUAACACAGAUCCCUCUAGUCAGGUGGACUGGUAACACAGAUCCCUCUAGUCAGGUGGACUGGUAACACAGAUCCCUCUAGUCAGGUGGACUGGUAACACAGAUCCCUCUAGUCAGGUGGACUGGUAACACAGAUCCCUCUAGUCAGGUGGACUGGUAACACAGAUCCCUCUAGUCAGGUGGACUCUAUGGUAACACAGAUCCCUCUAGUCAGGUGGACUGGUAACACAGAUCCCUCUAGUCAGGUGGACUGGUAACACAGAUCCCUCUAGUCAGGUGGACUCUAUGGUAACACAGAUCCCUCUAGUCAGGUGGACUCUAUGGUAACACAGAUCCCUCUAGUCAGGUGGACUGGUAACACAGAUCCCUCUAGUCAGGUGGACUGGUAACACAGAUCCCUCUAGUCAGGUGGACUGGUAACACAGAUCCCUCUAGUCAGGUGGACUGGUAACACAGAUCCCUCUAGUCAGGUGGACUGGUAACACAGAUCCCUCUAGUCAGGUGGACUGGUAACACAGAUCCCUCUAGUCAGGUGGACUGGUAACACAGAUCCCUCUAGUCAGGUGGACUCUAUGGUAACACAGAUCCCUCUAGUCAGGUGGACUGGUAACACAGAUCCCUCUAGUCAGGUGGACUGGUAACACAGAUCCCUCUAGUCAGGUGGACUCUAUGGUAACACAGAUCCCUCUAGUCAGGUGGACUGGUAACACAGAUCCCUCUAGUCAGGUGGACUGGUAACACAGAUCCCUCUAGUCAGGUGGACUCUAUGGUAACACAGAUCCCUCUAGUCAGGUGGACUGGUAACACAGAUCCCUCUAGUCAGGUGGACUGGUAACACAGAUCCCUCUAGUCAGGUGGACUGGUAACACAGAUCCCUCUAGUCAGGUGGACUGGUAACACAGAUCCCUCUAGUCAGGUGGACUGGUAACACAGAUCCCUCUAGUCAGGUGGACUGGUAACACAGAUCCCUCUAGUCAGGUGGACUGGUAACACAGAUCCCUCUAGUCAGGUGGACUGGUAACACAGAUCCCUCUAGUCAGGUGGACUCUAUGGUAACACAGAUCCCUCUAGUCAGGUGGACUGGUAACACAGAUCCCUCUAGUCAGGUGGACUCUAUGGUAACACAGAUCCCUCUAGUCAGGUGGACUGGUAACACAGAUCCCUCUAGUCAGGUGGACUCUAUGGUAACACAGAUCCCUCUAGUCAGGUGGACUCUAUGGUAACACAGAUCCCUCUAGUCAGGUGGACUCUAUGGUAACACAGAUCCCUCUAGUCAGGUGGACUGGUAACACAGAUCCCUCUAGUCAGGUGGACUGGUAACACAGAUCCCUCUAGUCAGGUGGACUCUAUGGUAACACAGAUCCCUCUAGUCAGGUGGACUGGUAACACAGAUCCCUCUAGUCAGGUGGACUCUAUGGUAACACAGAUCCCUCUAGUCAGGUGGACUGGUAACACAGAUCCCUCUAGUCAGGUGGACUGGUAACACAGAUCCCUCUAGUCAGGUGGACUGGUAACACAGAUCCCUCUAGUCAGGUGGACUGGUAACACAGAUCCCUCUAGUCAGGUGGACUGGUAACACAGAUCCCUCUAGUCAGGUGGACUGGUAACACAGAUCCCUCUAGUCAGGUGGACUGGUAACACAGAUCCCUCUAGUCAGGUGGACUGGUAACACAGAUCCCUCUAGUCAGGUGGACUGCUAACACAGAUCCCUCUAGUCAGGUGGACUGGUAACACAGAUCCCUCUAGUCAGGUGGACUGGUAACACAGAUCCCUCUAGUCAGGUGGACUGGUAACACAGAUCCCUCUAGUCAGGUGGACUGGUAACACAGAUCCCUCUAGUCAGGUGGACUGGUAACACAGAUCCCUCUAGUCAGGUGGACUGGUAACACAGAUCCCUCUAGUCAGGUGGACUCUAUGGUAACACAGAUCCCUCUAGUCAGGUGGACUCUAUGGUAACACAGAUCCCUCUAGUCAGGUGGACUGGUAACACAGAUCCCUCUAGUCAGGUGGACUCUAUGGUAACACAGAUCCCUCUAGUCAGGUGGACUCUAUGGUAACACAGAUCCCUCUAGUCAGGUGGACUCUAUGGUAACACAGAUCCCUCUAGUCAGGUGGACUCUAUGGUAACACAGAUCCCUCUAGUCAGGUGGACUCUAUGGUAACACAGAUCCCUCUAGUCAGGUGGACUGGUAACACAGAUCCCUCUAGUCAGGUGGACUCUAUGGUAACACAGAUCCCUCUAGUCAGGUGGACUCUAUGGUAACACAGAUCCCUCUAGUCAGGUGGACUCUAUGGUAACACAGAUCCCUCUAGUCAGGUGGACUCUAUGGUAACACAGAUCCCUCUAGUCAGGUGGACUCUAUGGUAACACAGAUCCCUCUAGUCAGGUGGACUGGUAACACAGAUCCCUCUAGUCAGGUGGACUGGUAACACAGAUCCCUCUAGUCAGGUGGACUCUAUGGUAACACAGAUCCCUCUAGUCAGGUGGACUGGUAACACAGAUCCCUCUAGUCAGGUGGACUGGUAACACAGAUCCCUCUAGUCAGGUGGACUGGUAACACAGAUCCCUCUAGUCAGGUGGACUGGUAACACAGAUCCCUCUAGUCAGGUGGACUGGUAACACAGAUCCCUCUAGUCAGGUGGACUGGUAACACAGAUCCCUCUAGUCAGGUGGACUGGUAACACAGAUCCCUCUAGUCAGGUGGACUGCUAACACAGAUCCCUCUAGUCAGGUGGACUGGUAACACAGAUCCCUCUAGUCAGGUGGACUGGUAACACAGAUCCCUCUAGUCAGGUGGACUCUAUGGUAACACAGAUCCCUCUAGUCAGGUGGACUCUAUGGUAACACAGAUCCCUCUAGUCAGGUGGACUGGUAACACAGAUCCCUCUAGUCAGGUGGACUCUAUGGUAACACAGAUCCCUCUAGUCAGGUGGACUCUAUGGUAACACAGAUCCCUCUAGUCAGGUGGACUGGUAACACAGAUCCCUCUAGUCAGGUGGACUGGUAACACAGAUCCCUCUAGUCAGGUGGACUCUAUGGUAACACAGAUCCCUCUAGUCAGGUGGACUGGUAGAAUCCCCUGGCUACUGGUCUUAUCACAGGGUGUCUUGACUCUGUAAACACUAAAACAACUGUCAUG